rnacentral:rRNA from 1 species
UACGGGGGGUGCGAGCGUUGUCCGGAUUCACUGGGCGUAAAGGGCGCGUAGGCGGCCCGGUCAGUCGGACCUUUAAGAGCGGGGCUCACCCCCGUGGUGGGUUCGGGACGGCCGGGCUGGGGCGCGGCAGAGGGGGACGGAAUGCCGGGUGUAGUGGUGAAAUGCGCAGAUAUCAGGAGGAACACCGGUGGCGAAGGCGGGUCUCUGGGCAACAACUGACGCUGAGGAGCGAAAGCGUGGGGAGCGAACAGG